CACAAGCCGAACCGAACGCCGCGGAGAGUCUUCAUGUCGGACCCGGUCUUCCACUUCUCUUCCCGUGGGCAAAGCUGAAAGCAAGAGUCCCAUCGAGUUCCAAAUCUUCCUGCUUUUAGAUUAGCUGCGUGAUUGUCCAUGGAAGAAUCGUCGUCAUCUUCUUCUCCUUCUUCUUCGACGGCCCCCCUGCAUCCUCUUUCCUACUGGGAUUGCCUCAACCUGUUUCUUCUCCGCCCGUUUCUCGCCAUCUACUUCGUCUUCUCCUUCAUCCUUCUGGGUUGGUAUUUGGCGUGGAAGCUAGUUCUGGUACAUGUUCCUCUGGUUCAGGAGAUCUUCGGCCUCCGGAAGAAGUCUGUCAAGCCGAAGCCCCCGACUCGCCAUCGGCUUUCGAAGUUCUAUAGUAGCAUGAAUCGUGAUCCCCAACAACACCCUGACUCUAAAAAGCCGAUUUGAGAUCGUUUAUUAGGCAUGGUAACCUCUAAAUGGCAAACCUUUUAAGAUGGUAAUUUUGCAUCUGUUGAGGCUGUCUGACUUUGAAUUGAUUGUGAUGUGUUUUGGUUAAUCUCUCCGGUAUACUUAAGACAGAUCGAGCAACUCUCGGAUGAGGGAGGCAAUCAGGCUUGUUAGGUCACUAUGUUUGACAAGGAUGAGGAACCUCAGAAAUUUGUGCCGGAGACAUGCUGAUAUUCCACACCCAAUCUCUAAAGGUGUCAAUAGGUCUGAAAGGUUGAAGAUCGUCCGGUUUGUAGAUCGACAUUCUUAAUACAUCACAGGUGUAAUUAUUCGCUCCGUGCGUAUUCAGUUCCAUCUCGUCAUUGUAAUUAUUCAAUUAAGUGCAUAUUCUGUUCCAUCUCUUAUCCAGUCCACAUUUACACGAAGUUUAUGCGCGUCAAAUCAAUGUCAAUGGCAGUAUAGCGAGCAAGUUUUAAGCAGGCAUGUUUUUUUUUUUUUGGGUCGAAGCAGCAGGCGUGUUGAAUGGAGAAAUUUUUCAGCUUAUAUGACAUAGCUAGUGCCCGGUGCUUGUCUUGCUACAAUUCGAUGUUACCUUCCGAACCGUAAAUGCUCAUAUUUUACUAUUCCAGUUCAAUUAA